rnacentral:rRNA from 1 species
AUGGAUCUGAGUGAUGGGGGCCCAGAGGAGUUGCCACCACCGCCUCCUCUGCCUCCCGACGUGGUGCCCAUCAGAGCAGAAGAAGAUGUCGCCGAGGAACUGCCUCGAAACAAGCCUGCAAAGCCCAAGAGGCUCCCUAAGGCCAGGCCCGGGCUUGGGAAGAGAGGGCAGACCAUCCAGCUACUUGCUAACCACUACAAAGUUUCUAUGAGGAGUUCAGAGGACUUUUUCCACCACUACCAUGUCAAUUUGAAGUAUGAGGAUGAUCAACCUGUCGUUCGAAAGGGGAUAGGGAGAAAGGUUCUGGAUAAACUGCAGCAUAUGUACCGUUCCGAGCUCGCGAACAAUGAAUUUGCAUAUGAUGGUGAGAAGAGCCUCUUUACAAUCGGGGCUCUUCCCCAGGUACACAAUGAGUUCACUGUAGUGUUGGAAGACAUCAGAAGUGGAAAGUGCUCUGGAGGUAAUAGUGGCAGCAGUCCUGGAGGUAGUGACACGAAGAGAGUGAAGAGGCCCUACAAGACAAAGAUUUUCAAAGUGGAGCUUUGCUUUGUGGCAAAAAUCCCUACGGCCGCAAUCACGCAGGCCCUUAGAGGUCAAGAAUCAGAGAACUCUCUCGAGGCUCUUCGAGUUCUUGAUAUCAUACUGAGGCAGCAUUCUGCAAAACAGGGCUGUCUUCUACUUCACCAGUCAUUUUUCCACAACAAUCCUCGUAAUUUUGUUGACUUGAAAGGUGGUGUGGUGGGGUGCAGAGGAUUUCACUCAAGUUUCCGUGGUACGCAGAGUGGACUCUCCCUAAACAUCGAUGUUUCGACUACCAUGCUAGUUAAACCUGGUCCUGUUAUUGAUUUUCUUCUUGCAAACCAGAUGGUUGAUCACCCUAACAGAAUUGACUGGUCAAAGGCCAAGCGUGCUCUCAAGAACUUGAGGAUAAAAACCACUCAUGCUAAUUCUGAGUUCAAGAUUUUUGGUUUGAGUGAGAAAAAAUGCAAUGAACAGACGUUUCUAUUGAGGCGGAAGGAUGGUGACAAUGGAGACAUUAAUACUGUUGAAAUAACAGUCCAUGAAUACUUUGUACAUAAUAGAGGCAUAGAACUGCGCUAUUCCUAUCUUCCCUGUAUCAAUGCUGGGAGGCGAAAUCGUCCUACGUACUUCCCUGUGGAGCUUUGUGAGCUCGUUCCUCUGCAAAGAUACACCAAAGAUCUGUCUACUCUGCAGCGGUCCUCACUUGUGGAGAAGUCCAGACAAAUGCCUCAUGAAAGAAUGUCAAUACUUAACAAUGCACUUAAACGUACCAACUAUGACUCGGACCCCAUGGUGAAGGCAUGCGGCAUUUCAAUUGCCCGACAUUUUACUCAAAUUGAAGGGAGGGUCCUGCCAGCACCCAAGCUGAAAGCCGGUAACGGUGAAGAAUUCUUCCCACGCAAUGGAAGGUGGAAUCUUUCGAAAAAGAAGCUGAUUCGGACAUGUUCUGUCAACAAAUGGGCAGUUGUCAAUUUCUCUGCAGAGUGUGAUGUUCAUGGUCUUGUCCGAGACCUUAAAAGGAUUGCAACUGAAAUGGGGAUUAAAAUAGAGUACCCUUAUUGUGAUGUAAUUGAAGAGAGCCCGUCGGCAAGAAGAGCUCCUGCAUCACGUAGAGUGGACGAGAUGUUUGCUAAGAUAAAUUCCAAUCCACCUGGAGACCCCAAGUUCCUCCUGAGUCUUCUUCCUGUGAGAAAAAACUGUGAAAUUUAUGGGCCUUGGAAGAGGAAGUGUCUUGUUGAAUGCGGCAUCUUCACACAAUGUCUAGCUCCUCCAAGAAAAGUCAACGAUCAGUACCUGAUUAAUGUGUUAUUGAAGAUAAAUGCUAAACUUGGUGGUCUCAACACAUUGCUGCAAUGUGAACUAUCCCCUGCACCUGCAGUACUAUCCAUUGUGGGGAAGCUGCCUACUAUCAUCUUGGGCAUGUAUGUGUCACAUGGUCAGCCUGGGCAAUCUGAUAGGCCUUCCACCGCUGCGGUCGUUAAUUCUCGUGAGUGGCCUCUCAUCUCUAAGUACAGAGCAACAGUGCACACUCAAUCACCCAAACUAGAAAUGAUGUCCUCCUUAUUUAAACCAUGGGGAAAGGAUGAUGGCCUUAUUCGGGAAUCGCUUAUCGACUUCUACACUAGUUCUGGGAAUCGAAAACCAGAGCAAAUUAUUAUUUUCAGGGAUGGUGUUAGCGAAAGCCAGUUUACUCAGGUCAUCAACAUUGAGCUGGAGCAGAUCAUCGAGGCCUGCAAGUUCCUCGACGAGACGUGGGAGCCUAAGUUCACAGUCAUUGUUGCUCAGAAAAAUCAUCAUACGAGAUUUUUCCAGACUGAAUCCCCGAAUAAUGUUCCUCCUGGGACCGUCGUGGAUAAAGAGGUCUGCCAUCCCAAGAAUUUCGACUUCUACAUGUGUGCACAUGCUGGGAUGAUAGGCACGUCGAGGCCAACACAUUACCAUGUUCUGCACGACGAGAUCGGAUUCACCGCAGAUGAGCUUCAGGAAUUUGUGCAUUCGCUUUCAUACGUGUACCAGAGGAGCACAACAGCGAUAUUAGUCGUUGCUCCGAUUAUGUACGCGCAUCUGGCGGCUGCACAGGUAGGCACGUUCGUGAAGUUUGAAGACAUGUCGGCGGGCAGCAUCCCGGUGCCGGAGCUGCCUCGGCUGCAUGAGAAUGUGAGGAGCUCCAUGUUUUUCUGCUGA